UCGCCCCACUCGCGCUGCUGCUCCUCGUGCACGAGGCGCGUGAAGAUGUUGGUCCUCCGCCGCUCCUUCCGCUUAGAGUGGAAGUAGCCCAGCAUGAUGCCGCACAGGAAGACCCCGUAGAAGGAGAUGACGAUUAGAACGUACAGCUUCUCAAUCUCAUCCCGGUAAUAGGCCUCCAGCUCCUUCCGCUUGAGCUUGAAUGCAUCCGUCACCAGUCCAGUGUCGGCGGUCCAAGGGUCUGGACUCAGAUGGAUCUUGCCAGGGAUCUCAAAGCUCACGAGUUCGGCUGCAACAGAAUAAAAUGGAACUGUGGAGGGAAGUGUGUCAGCGCGCCUGCAGGAGCUAAGGUCACCACUUCUGGCAAUGGUGUCGAGGGUGGAGCACCAUCAGCUAGGGGCGGGGCAAGUGUGGGACGGCGAGACACAGCUGGCAGGUGAUUAGAUUUCACAGGUGGUACGUGUUAAUCUAAUCAUCUGUUGUCUUUAACGGUAAGCAGCCAGGAGCAGAGAAGAAGAGAGGAUUGGGAGUGACGGCAACGUCAGGACAUGCCGAAAGACAUUUUGAAAAUCUUGUUAAAAACUUUGUUAAACCUGCACGCUUGGCUCUUGUGCCAUGUCUACAGUGGAGCUGCUAGGAAGCGACUUCCA